GGUCUCGUAAGUUGGUUAAAGCGUUGGUCUUAUGAGUUAAAGGUCGCGAGUUCGAGCCCUGCUGGGACCA
rfam:Ipomoea nil DNA, scaffold: scaffold2782, cultivar: Tokyo-kokei standard.